rnacentral:rRNA from 1 species
CAAUAGCGUAUAUUUAAGUUGUUGCAGUUAAAAAGCUCGUAGUUGGAUUUUGGGUCGGGGGCACCGGUCCGCCGUUCCGGUGUGCACUGGUGGCCCCUUCCUUUCUGCCGGGGACGUGCGUCGCACUUAAUUGGGUGGCGUUCGGAGUCGGCGUUGUUACUUUGAAAAAAUUAGAGUGUUCAAAGCAAGCCAUCGCUCUGAAUACAUUAGCAUGGAAUAACAUGAUAGGACUCCGGUCUUAUUUUGUUGGUUUCCGAGACUGGAGUAGUGAUUAAGAGGGACAGUCGGGGGCAUCCGUAUUUCAUUGUCAGAGGUGAAAUUCUUGGAUUUAUGAAAGACGAACUUCUGCGAAAGCAUUUGCCAAGGAUGUUUUCAUUAA